UCCCUGAUAGCUCAGUUGGUAAAGAAUCUGCCUGCAAUGCAGAUAGACCCCGGUUUGAUUCCUGGGUUGGGAA
rfam:Ovis aries breed Texel chromosome 3, whole genome shotgun sequence.